rnacentral:tRNA from 1 species
GGAGGGAUGCCCGAGUCUGGCCAAAGGGGGCAGACUGUAAAUCUGCUGGCGCAGCCUUCGCUGGUUCAAAUCCAGCUCCCUCCACCA